UUGCGGUUAAAAAGCUCGUAGUUGGAUUUCUGUUGAGGAUGACCGGUCCGCUCUUUGAGCGCGUAUCUGGUUCAGCCUUGGCAUCCUCUUGGGGAACGCUACUGUGCUUGAUUGCAUGGGGCGGUAUUCAAGACUUUUACUUUGAGGAAAUUAGAGUGUUCACUGCAAGCGUUAGCAAUUGAAUACAUUAGCAUGGAAUAAUAAUAUAGGACCUUGGUACUAUUUUGUUGGUUUCUAGAACUAAGGUAAUGAUUAAUAGGGACAAUUGGGGGCAUUCGUAUUAACGCGUCAGAGGUGGAAUUCUUAGAUUGCGUUACGACGAACUACUGCGAAAGCAUUUGCCAAGGAUGUUUUCAUUGAUCAAGAACGAAAGUAUGGGGAUCGAAGACGCUUAGAUACCGUCGUAGUCUAUACCAUAAACUAUGCCAACUAGAGAUUGGAGGUCGUUCUCUUUAUGACUCCUUCAGCACCUUAUGAGAAAUCAAAGUCUUUGGGUUCCGGGGGGAGUAUGGUCGCAAGGCUGAAACUUAAAGGAAUUGACGGAAGGGCACCACCAGGAGUGGAGCCUGCGGCUUAAUUUGACUCAACA
rnacentral:rRNA from 1 species